UACAGAGGUCUCAAGCGUUGUUCGGAUUCAUUGGGCGUAAAGGGUGCGUAGGCGGCGCCGUAAGUCUGGUGUGAAAUCCCGGAGCUCAACUCCGGAAUUGCACUGGAUACUGCGGUGCUCGAGGACUGGAGAGGAGACUGGAAUUCACGGUGUAGCAGUGAAAUGCGUAGAUGUCGUGAGGAAGACCAGUGGCGAAGGUGGGUCUCUGGACAGUUCCUGACGCUGAGGCACGAAGGCCAGGGGAGCAAACGGG
rnacentral:rRNA from 1 species